rnacentral:rRNA from 1 species
GGCCAGACUCCUACGGGAGGCAGCAGUGGGGAAUAUUGGGCAAUGGGCGCAAGCCUGACCCAGCAAUGCCGCGUGAAGGAAGAAGGCUUUCGGGUUGUAAACUUCUUUGACAGGGGAAGAGCAGAAGACGGUACCCUGAAAACAAGCCACGGCUAACUACGUGCCAGCAGCCGCGGUAAUACGUAGGGAGCGAGCGUUAUCCGGAAUUAUUGGGUGUAAAGGGUGCGUAGACGGGACAGCAAGUUAGUUGUGAAAGCCCUCGGCUUAACUGAGGAACUGCAACUAAAACUAUUGUUCUUGAGUGCAGGAGAGGAAAGCGGAAUUCCUAGUGUAGCGGUGAAAUGCGUAGAUAUUAGGAGGAACACCAGUGGCGAAGGCGGCUUUCUGGACUGUAACUGACGUUGAGGCACGAAAGUGUGGGGAGCAAACAGGAUUAGAUACCCUAGUA